CACGUAGGGCGCGAGCGUUGUCCGGAAUUAUUGGGCGUAGAGAGCUCGUAGGCGGCCUGUUGCGUCCGCUGUGAAAGCCCGGGGCUUAACCCCGGGUCGGCAGUGGAUACGGGCAGGCUAGAGGUAGGUAGGGGAGAAUGGAAUUCCCGGUGUAGCGGUGAAAUGCGCAGAUAUCGGGAGGAACACCGGUGGCGAAGGCGGUUCUCUGGGCCUGUACUGACGCUGAGGAGCGAAAGCGUGGGGAGCGAACAGG
rnacentral:rRNA from 1 species